UUUUAGAUGUAAAUUUAAAAACUGAACCAUUAAUAGUUAUGUUCUUUAAAAUUAAAGGAUUUGGCGGUAUUUUAGUCUGUUCAGAGGAACCUGUCCUGUAAUUGAUGAUCCACGAUUUAUAUCACCAAUAUUUUUAGUUUGUAUAUCGUCGUAUUUAAAUAUUUUUAAAGAAUUUUUAAAUAUUUGAAAUUCUUGUUUUUAAGGAGUAUUUCAGAUCAAGAUGUAGUUAAUAUAUUGGGAGAGAUGGGUUACAUUAGUUAUAUUUGUGAAUAAAUAAGUGAAAGUUAUUUUGAAAAUGGAUUGAAAGUAAUUUUAAAAAUUUUUUUAUUUUGAGUGAGCCCAAAAAUAUG
rnacentral:rRNA from 1 species